GGGACGUCUGUGGAGCGCGCACGCACCGGGCGCCCGCGGUGCGCGCGCAGGUCGGUGCGUCGGUCGGGGGCGCGCUCGGGGGAACCUGUGCCCCACGUAGUCGCCGGUUACCGAUAGGACUAAGUUCCAGUGGUGGCUCACAAACUAAGUUAAAAAUGUCCCCAGAAGUGGCUUUGAACCGAAUUUCUCCAGUGCUGUCCCCAUCCAUAUCUAGCGUGGUCCGGAAUGGAAAGGUGGGACUGGAUGCUACAAACUGUUUGAGAAUAACAGACUUGAAGUCUGGCUCCUUUGAACCCAGCCUUUCUUGCAUUUUACAGCAGCAGUUUCUGUCAUGCAUAUUAAGGAUUUUCUUCAUAGGAAGGAGGUGAACUUAGAGAAGACAUUUCGAGUGUGGAUGAGGGUUGAAGACCUGAUCAGGACCUGAUGACCAGUGGUCUCUGACUGCUUUAUGUCACUUCUUAAAUUGUAUGACCAUCCUAGAAGACCAGUUGGGUCUAUGAACAGUAGGCCAUAUUGUUUCUUUUCUGCAGAUUCUUUUUUGGGUAUUCCAGAGUUCCUGAACGCUUGUGUUUACAUGUAAAUAGUAAUCUGAUGAAAAAGUUGAAAUGAAUCUAUUACUCUUGGCUUAUUCAGAAGUAGCAUUGUCUCAAAAAUGUUUAAAGUGGCAUAUAAUGAAACUUAUUAGUGUUCUGUUACUAUAAUAAAAUGCCUGAAACAGCUUAUAAAGAGCAAAGGUUUAUUUGGGCUCAUGGUUUCAGAGGUUCUAGUUCAUGAUUAGGUAGAAUCAUUGCUUUUAGGUCUCUGAUGUUGAAUGACAAUUGUGGGAAAGCAUGUGGUAGAACAAACUGAUUACCUCAUAGCUAGGAGCAAAGGAGGAAAGAGGGUAGGAUGUGGGGGAGGGAGUCUUACCAUGUCUUUGGGAGCAGAACCCCCAAUCUAAGGGCCUACACAGAGCCCUGCUUCUAAAGGUCCACAGGGCUUAACAGUGGUACCAUCUUUGAGGGUCAAGCCUUUGAGGCAUAGAUCUUUGGGAGACAUUCAACAUCAAAACUAUAGCCAAGUUAUAGAAUAUAUUUUCUUUAGCUUUUAAGAAAAGAAAGCCAAGCAUGGUGAUGCACACCUGUAAU